GCCAGACUCCUACGGGAGGCAGCAGUGGGGAAUAUUGCACAAUGGGGGAAACCCUGAUGCAGCGACGCCGCGUGAGUGAAGAAGUAUUUCGGUAUGUAAAGCUCUAUCAGCAGGGAAGAAAUAGCGACCUUUGGGUCGCCAGACGGUACCUGAUUAAGAAGCCCCGGCUAACUACGUGCCAGCAGCCGCGGUAAUACGUAGGGGGCAAGCGUUAUCCGGAUUUACUGGGUGUAAAGGGAGCGUAGACGGCAGCGCAAGUCUGAAGUGAAAUGCCGGGGCUUAACCCCGCGGAUUGCUUUUGGAACUGUCAGGCUGGAGUGCAGGAGGGGCAGGCGGAAUUCCUGGUGUAGCGGUGAAAUGCGUAGAUAUCAGGAGGAACACCGGUGGCGAAGGCGGCCUGCUGGACUGUAACUGACGUUGAGGCUCGAAAGCGUGGGGAGCAAACAGGAUUAGAUACCCGCGUAGGA
rnacentral:rRNA from 1 species